AAUAUUGAAGAAUUAAAGAUUGAUCUUCAAAGAACCGAAUUUGUGCAGGUAUAAGAAGCUUGGACAAAGGGACAAUCAACGAAGAGGUGGUCUCUAUAGGUUUCCAGUUUAUUAGCAAAAAAAACACAGGAAGAGUACAAGGAGGUAUUAAGAUGGAAUAUGCGGUCUUUAGUUCCUCUAAAAAGCAACAAAGAAACAAGAACUUAUAGCUCAAGUGGUUAAGAACAUUCACUCCUACACCCGUUGUCCAAAAUUUGAUUACCUUCACGCCCCAAUAUCACUUCCAACAAAGAAGUAUUUUCUUACUAUUACUCGCAAUCCAUCUAAUCGUUUUUUAAGCAGGGAUCAAUAGAGUUGAACAAAGAGCAUUGAUUUAAGUUGCUGGUACUUAAAAAGUCUCGAAGGGUAUGGAUAUAUAGGCGUGCUCUGUGUAUCCAUAGCAAUGGCAGAUUAACCAAUGUCUUAAGGAAUUGUUUUGAAGUAAUAGCUAAUAGCUAUAGCUGACCAAAUUCUUAUGAUACUUGCCUACUUCUUAUAUCUUGGCUGUAUCAUGAGAACAGGAGAUAUAUAAAUUAAAUGAGGUCACAUACGAAAGUUGCGAAAACCUCUCUAUCCAUAUCACAAAUGGUUCAUUAGGUUCUGAUGAUAUUGAUUCUGGUGUUGAACAUGAUGAGGAUUGUGGCACUGAU
rnacentral:lncRNA from 1 species